GCAGCGUAGAAACAACUGCCUUUCGAAGUGGCCGUCAGUUAGGCUGCCCCUCGGUGAGUUAGGGUCAGUGAUGGCUAGUAGCUUUAACUACAUGUAAUUAAAAGGUAGUUAUCACUACUUUCAGACAGCGCUUUUGUCCUGACGGAGACGGUGCCACUGUUGAAACGUCGACCGUUCUGUUAUAAUCUCCCACAGAACCAGUAACCGCCCCUGGACAGCCGACAAGGGUCCGAGCAUCCGCAGCCUAAAGCGAACAUCGAUUGAACGCCUCCUGGACGCGUUAGUUGGGAUGCUCCAAUGAGUAUACAUCAGCAGACGUCCCACAUAUAUUACCCUGUGGACACCAUGUGCACCCCAUCCGCAGUGUGUCCACAAAGAGCCGUUUGAGCACCCCUUUUCGCUCUUCACACUCGACCCCGUUCUUCUCUCCCGGUCUGUCGUCUGACUGCGUUGCCGCCAAAGCAGAAAUCUGCGCAGAAGGCUUGUUUUUUCCGCAAUGCGCAGAAGAGAGAGUCACGUGAUGCCCUAGCCCGUUGUGCGGAUGAUUUCAAACGCCGCUGGAGAUGCUGGAGAAACACUGCGGCGUCUGCAAUGGCUCGGAGUAACACGGGUUAUACCGCUUAGCAUUGGCCAUUCGUUGCUGCGUACGUCUCAGCGUCUCCCAGAGAGUGUGGGGUGUUUUCUCUAUGAGCAGUCUUGGAAUUAUUUACUGUCUUAUGUGUUACAGUGUGCCUCGGUGGAAGAACUUGGCCAGUGAGUUCCAGAGACCGGAAGACACAGAAAGGAACAAUAUCAAGACACCGGUAGCCAUUCAUAAGACGUGAAGGAACGUGAGGAGUUGCGUCGGUUUCAUGCAAGAUGCCAACUAAUUAUAUGGCGAGUAACAUGGAUGUUUAUUUUCUUGUGUACAUAACGUGGUGAUAUGGUGAUCACUAUCUGUACGAAUGGGGAUGAUCUGGAUAUGGCACCUUGUCACGUGCUUACAUUAUUUGUACUGCUUAUGUGCCGGCAGGCAUGUACGAAUGCACAUGUAAAUAAAACCCACAUAGAAAUAAAGUAUUUUU